rnacentral:tRNA from 1 species
GACUUAAUAGCUCAGGGGUAGAGCAAUGGUCUGAAGAACCAUGUGUCAGUGGUUCGAAACCACUUUAAGUCA